AACGAACGCUGGCGGCAGGCCUAACACAUGCAAGUCGAACGGCAGCACGGCAGUAGCAAUACUGUGGGUGGCGAGUGGCGGACGGGUGAGGAAUACAUCGGGAUCUACCCUGUUGUGGGGGAUAACGUAGGGAAACUUACGCUAAUACCGCAUAAGAACUGAGGUUGAAAGCGGCGGACCGCAAGGCGUCGCGCGAUUGGAUGUACCGAUGUCCGAUUAGCUAGUUGGCGGGGUAAAGGCCCACCAAGGCGACGAUCGGUAGCUGGUCUGAGAGGACGACCAGCCACACUGGAACUGAGACACGGUCCAGACUCCUACGGGAGGCAGCAGUGGGGAAUAUUGGACAAUGGGCGCAAGCCUGAUCCAGCCAUGCCGCGUGGGUGAAGAAGGCCU
rnacentral:rRNA from 1 species